rnacentral:rRNA from 1 species
UGCGUAGGUGGCGCGUUAAGUCCGUUGUGAAAUCCCUUGGCUCAACCAAGGAACUGCUUCGGAUACUGGCGUGCUUGAGGCUAGUAGGGGUCACUGGAACUGACGGUGGAGCGGUGAAAUGCGUAGAUAUCGUCAGGAACGCCGAUGGUGAAGACAGGUGACUGGGCUAGUUCUGACACUGAGGCAAGCUGGGGAGCGAAC